UACGUAGGGUGCAAGCGUUGCCCGGAUUUAUUGGGCGUAAAGGGCGCGUAGGCGGCUCUGCACGUCCGUUGUGAAAUCGCCCGGCUCAACUGGGCGGGGUCAGCGGAUACGGCGGAGCUUGAGCAAGCUAGGGGGCAAUGGAAUUCCCGGUGUAGUGGUGGAAUGCGUAGAUAUCGGGAGGAACACCUGUGGCGAAAGCGGCUCACUGGACCACAACUGACGCUGAGGCGCGAAAGCUAGGGGAGCAAACAGG
rnacentral:rRNA from 1 species